rnacentral:lncRNA from 10 species
GCUCUGCAAUCAGCAAGUGAUGAUCCCAGCCAGGUUUGUGUCCUUUCCUUCAGGGUGAUGAGUUCCUCCAGUCCUUGGGAAGAUUCUGAGGUGCUGUCCAGGAGAUACUACCUGGAAUAAAAAAAACCUUAGAAGUCUAUGUGGUGUUCUAUUGUGCUGCAGCUGUACUGCACUCGAAGCAUAAGACAAAGUUCUUCCCACUCUUUCCUCCUCUUUCUACAGGCAGAGGAGCCUAACUUCAGGGCUACCACCACUAUCAGCUUAUGUACAGUACUGCCAGGGUACUGCUGAUGUUCCCUUAAAGGCUAAGGGCCAUUCAUUCCACUUUUAAUGAAUGCUGCCAGACCUAAGACUCACCCUCCAGGGCAGUGGGCUCCACUCUGGUGCAUGCUACAUCCAGAAAUGCUGUCCAAGUGCUAAGUCCUAGAAUCGGAGACCCCAAGAGGAUACUUGGUGCUCUACUUCCCUGUGGCCAAGCUGGAAGAAGUGGUCUCAGAUGCUUGCUAUUGAAGACAUGGAUGUUCUUAGUCCAAUUCUCUUCCUAAAAGGAUAUAGAAGACAGUUGACUCUUUCUUAUACAUACACUCACCUGAAUCUGAAGAAUGAGCAAGAAACUGCCAAAAAGAACUCUGAGUAACCAUAUGCCUUCCUUCUGUUUGUCUACUAUGCAAGACUAUUCCAUAGCAUAUUAAGAUGUUUCCUCCAAACUAGCAAGUAGGAUCUAGAUUUAAUCUUCAACUAUUCAAUACCGAUUCUACAAAAGCAUAGAGGUGAACAGAGUGCUGGGACCUACAGUGUCAUUUCUUCCCCCUAUUACCUUAAUGAAUGUAGCCAGUUUGCUUACUUCACUUUUGCUCUUGGAUAUUGACAACUGGCUGUCUUCUUCUUCAGGUGGUCAGGUGCUAGUUGUUACUCAGUGAAUCCCCAGUUCUCUAGGCUUCUCUGAGAGAUAGCCAAGACUUGUUUUCAGUCACCAAUGCCUUUAAUCAAACUCGCUUAAAUAGCAACCCAGUUUUUACCACAUGCCAAAGUCUAUCACUGACAGAAAUUUUAAUGUUUCAUCUAACCCACAUCUCCCUCAAAACUUUGCUAAAAUGCCAUUUUUUUCUGUGAUUACUUCCAUUUAUUUUUCUCCGUAGCUUUCUUCACCUUAUGACCUAUAAUAUAAUGUACUAAUUAUGUUUGUUUUCACUUUUCCUACACUAGUACAUGAGCUCUAAUAAGGCAGAGGUUUUUGCCUGUAUACUUCACUGAUAUAUUCUUGGAACACAGAAGACUACCAGGUAUAUAGAAAGUGCUCAUAAAAAUUUGUUGAAUUAAUUAAUCUAGCACAAUUGAUUUUAUAUCACACCUUUUUGAUGUUGACAGUUAUCUGAAUUAAAUAAAUUGGAUCCAUACCUCCUUGUAUUUCUGAUAGAGUUUUAAUGACUGGUCCUACCUCUUACAGAUGAGGUCAUCUCCCUUCAUGUUCAUAGUCUUCAUGCUUUAGUAGCAGAGAUUUUUCUUGGUUCUCCCCUUCUUUUCUCAGAAGUGUCCUGAAUACUUCAUGUAUCACUCUAGUGGAGAAGAAUCCAGGAAUGGCCACGUUACAAUACACAUAUUUUAUGUUUCACAAAACCUGUCAAUAAACUCACAUUUUUGUAAAGCUUUUUGAAAUUUGUUUCAUUCAGUUUUUUGACUUUUCUCUGUACCAUAUUUUAUCUUUCUCUCUUUAUUUGAACACACACACUGGUAUCCACAGGUGCAUGUGGCCUCUUUUUUUUUUUUUAAGUUUAUACAUACACUUUCUCUCCUUGAAAACAGAUAGCAAGUUUUCUUGAGGAGAUUGCUCACUUAUUAUAGGCACUCUCCCACCCCUGUCUUACAUCCCCAAAUGGAUUUAGUUCUCCUCAAACUAUGCAAAGUCACCUAAUUAAAUAAAAGCCAUCGUAUUUCUAAGAAAUAUUAUCUACCAUGUGUUUCCAAAAGAAAAAUGAUCUGGAGAGCUAUGGAAUUUGGCAUUCAAAGAUCAGGAUCAGAAGAGAGAAUCUUCAGGAUGUUGGAAAAAUGAGAACACAAGCGUCAUUUUUCCUUGUGUUUUUAUUGGAAGCUUGAUGGGGACUUUGGCUACAUCUGUGCUGACUGCAUAAGCACAUACAAGAACAAUGUGUACUUUCUCAGCUGAGUGGCUUUUUAAUGUGCAGUUUCCUGCAGUGAUUCUGCUUAAGCAAGGCCUUAGAAAAGAUGAGGAACAGCUAAAGAACAAAACACACAGCAUGUUACUCUGUGGCCUCAUCAAAGGUAUCUCAAUUUAGAAGGUAAAUUACAAGCUAAAAAAAUCUGUGAUUUGUAUUCUUUCAAAGAAAGUAACAGAAAACUCAAGCAACUUUUUUUACAUACAUAAUUUUUUCCUCAAAACACUCAAGUAAUACAAAAACUAAGAAGUUCUGGAAAAGGGCCCAUUUACUACUUCUAGCCUUCCUACCUUCAGUAGUUUGUCAUGUAAUGAAGGGGUCUAUACCUCCUCACUUCCGUGGUGUUAUGUUUAGCCAUUGCUACACAUGGUAAACUUGUUUUAGCCCCCAGUU